UACGUAGGGGGCAAGCGUUGUCCGGAAUCAUUGGGCGUAAAGCGCGCGUAGGCGGCCCGGUAAGUCCGCUGUAAAAGUCCAGGGCUCAACCCUGGAAAGCCGGUGGAUACUGUCGGGCUAGAGUCCGGAAGAGGCGAGUGGAAUUCCUGGUGUAGCGGUGGAAUGCGCAGAUAUCGGGAAGAACACCCGUGGCGAAGGCGGUUCUCUGGGACGGUACUGACGCUGAGACGCGAAAGCGUGGGGAGCGAACAGG
rnacentral:rRNA from 1 species